GGCAUAAUGGCUUAGCUGGUUUGAGCGUUGCUAUAAUCUACAGGUCUUGUGGCAGACCCUGGGUUCGAUUCUCAGUGCGGCCU